rnacentral:tRNA from 2 species
GGGGAUAUAGCUCAGUGGUAGAGCGCUGCUUUUGCACGGCAGAUGCCAGGAGUUCGACUCUCCUUAUCUCCA